rnacentral:rRNA from 1 species
UGGCUCAGAUUGAACGCUGGCGGCAGGCCUAACACAUGCAAGUCGAGCGGUAGAGAGAAGCUUGCUUCUCUUGAGAGCGGCGGACGGGUGAGUAAUGCCUAGGAAUCUGCCUGGUAGUGGGGGAUAACGUUCGGAAACGGACGCUAAUACCGCAUACGUCCUACGGGAGAAAGCAGGGGACCUUCGGGCCUUGCGCUAUCAGAUGAGCCUAGGUCGGAUUAGCUAGUUGGUGGGGUAAUGGCUCACCAAGGCGACGAUCCGUAACUGGUCUGAGAGGAUGAUCAGUCACACUGGAACUGAGACACGGUCCAGACUCCUACGGGAGGCAGCAGUGGGGAAUAUUGGACAAUGGGCGAAAGCCUGAUCCAGCCAUGCCGCGUGUGUGAAGAAGGUCUUCGGAUUGUAAAGCACUUUAAGUUGGGAGGAAGGGCCAUUACCUAAUACGUGAUGGUUUUGACGUUACCGACAGAAUAAGCACCGGCUAACUCUGUGCCAGCAGCCGCGGUAAUACAGAGGGUGCAAGCGUUAAUCGGAAUUACUGGGCGUAAAGCGCGCGUAGGUGGUUUGUUAAGUUGGAUGUGAAAUCCCCGGGCUCAACCUGGGAACUGCAUUCAAAACUGACUGACUAGAGUAUGGUAGAGGGUGGUGGAAUUUCCUGUGUAGCGGUGAAAUGCGUAGAUAUAGGAAGGAACACCAGUGGCGAAGGCGACCACCUGGACUGAUACUGA